UGGGGAAUCUUAGACAAUGGGGGAAACCCUGAUCUAGCCAUGCCGCGUGAGCGAUGAAGGCCUUAGGGUUGUAAAGCUCUUUCACCGGGGAAGAUAAUGACGGUACCCGGAGAAGAAGCCCCGGCUAACUCCGUGCCAGCAGCCGCGGUAAUACGGAGGGGGCUAGCGUUGUUCGGAAUUACUGGGCGUAAAGCGCACGUAGGCGGAUUGGAAAGUCAGAGGUGAAAUCCCAGGGCUCAACCCUGGAACUGCCUUUGAAACUCCCAGGCUUGAGGUCGGGAGAGGUGAGUGGAAUUCCGAGUGUAGAGGUGAAAUUCGUAGAUAUUCGGAGGAACACCAGUGGCGAAGGCGGCUCACUGGCUCGAUACUGACGCUGAGGUGCGAAAGCGUGGGGAGCAAACAGG
rnacentral:rRNA from 1 species